rnacentral:rRNA from 1 species
AACGAACGCUGGCGGCAUGCCUAACACAUGCAAGUCGAACGAGACCUUCGGGUCUAGUGGCGCACGGGUGCGUAACGCGUGGGAACCUGCCCUUAGGUUCGGAAUAACUCCCCGAAAGGGGUGCUAAUACCGGAUAAUGUCUUCCGACCAAAGAUUUAUCGCCUUUGGAUGGGCCCGCGUUGGAUUAGCUAGUUGGUAGGGUAAAAGCCUACCAAGGCGACGAUCCAUAGCUGGUCUGAGAGGAUGACCAGCCACACUGGGACUGAGACACGGCCCAGACUCCUACGGGAGGCAGCAGUGGGGAAUAUUGGACAAUGGGCGAAAGCCUGAUCCAGCAAUGCCGCGUGAGUGAUGAAGGCCUUAGGGUUGUAAAGCUCUUUUACCCGGGAUGAUAAUGACAGUACCGGGAGAAUAAGCUCCGGCUAACUCCGUG